AUGGUCCAUGGGUUCCGUUUAUUGGAACUCUGUUUCUAUUUAUUUUUGUUUCGAAUUGGUCAGGGGCCCUUUUGCCUUGGAAAAUUAUAAAGUUACCUCAUGGAGAGUUAGCUGCACCCACAAAUGAUAUAAAUACUACUGUUGCAUUAGCUUUACUUACGUCAGUAGCCUAUUUCUAUGCGGGUAUUUCAAAAAAGGGAUUGGCCUAUUUUGGUAAAUACAUCCAACCAACGCCAAUCCUUUUACCGAUUAACAUCUUAGAAGAUUUCACAAAACCCUUAUCGCUUAGUUUUCGACUUUUUGGAAAUAUAUUAGCGGAUGAAUUAGUAGUUGUUGUUCUUGUUUCGUUAGUACCUUUAGUAGUUCCUAUACCUGUUAUGUUCCUUGGAUUAUUUACAAGUGGUAUUCAAGCUCUUAUUUUCGCUACUUUAGCUGCGGCGUAUAUAGGUGAAUCCAUGGAAGGGCAUCAUUGA